CAAAGACGUUCACGAUUUGUUUCUCGUGUGGAGACUCCUGAUUUCCUAGAACAAGCUCUUCCGAUUCAACUCACACAAUUUAAAUCUCCUUUUGUUCUCUUUUCUAGCCGCCGUGUGGUGUCGAUCGGAAUUGUUUGAGAAAGGGGAGGACGAGUACCUGGAAGCUGACGGAGGCGAGCGGCGCGGCCAUGCCGCGGUAGAGCGCGGCGGGGCCCUCCCGGGCGACGAUGCUGCGGAGGAGGCCGAUGGCCGAGGGGGGUCGUCGGGCGAGGGUGGAGGCGUUCGAGGAAGCGGGCGUCGGCGGCUGUUGGAGACGGAUGCGGAGCGUGUCGAGCGGGUAGCCGGAGAUGACCCCGGCCAUGCCGCCGAUGCCCCCGGCCACGAACUCCCUCCCCCAGCUGUUCGCCAUGAACUCCGGCCAGAACUCCAUGAUCUUGUACUCUCAUGCACACCUCCC